CGUGCUUAACACAUGCAAGUCGAACGAUGAAGCCCAGCUUGCUGGGUGGAUUAGUGGCGAACGGGUGAGUAACACGUGAGUAACCUGCCCUUAACUCUGGGAUAAGCCUGGGAAACUGGGUCUAAUACCGGAUAGGAGCGUCCACCGCAUGGUGGGUGUUGGAAAGAUUUAUCGGUUUUGGAUGGACUCGCGGCCUAUCAGCUUGUUGGUGAGGUAAUGGCUCACCAAGGCGACGACGGGUAGCCGGCCUGAGAGGGUGACCGGCCACACUGGGACUGAGACACGGCCCAGACUCCUACGGGAGGCAGCAGUGGGGAGUAUUGCACAAUGGGCGAAAGCCUGAUGCAGCGACGCCGCGUGAGGGAUGACGGCCUUCGGGUUGUAAACCUCUUUCAGUAGGGAAGAAGCGAAAGUGACGGUACCUGCAGAAGAAGCACCGGCUAACUACGUGCCAGCAGCCGCGGUAAUACGUAGGGUGCGAGCGUUAUCCGGAAUUAUUGGGCGUAAAGAGCUCGUAGGCGGUUUGUC
rnacentral:rRNA from 1 species